UACGUAGGGUGCAAGCGUUAAUCGGAAUUACUGGGCGUAAAGCGUGCGCAGGCGGUUUUGUAAGUCUGACGUGAAAGCCCCGGGCUCAACCUGGGAACUGCAUUUGUGACUGCAAGGCUAGAGUACGGCAGAGGGGGAUGGAAUUCCGCGUGUAGCAGUGAAAUGCGUAGAUAUGCGGAGGAACACCAAUGGCGAAGGCAAUCCCCUGGGCCUGUACUGACGCUCAUGCACGAAAGCGUGGGGAGCAAACAGG
rnacentral:rRNA from 1 species